CCCUUAGAUGUUCUGGGCCGCACGCGCGCUACACUGUUCGACGCAGCGAGUCUUAACCUUGACCGAAAGGUUUGGGUAAUCUUCAGCAAAGUCGAACGUGAUGGGGAUCGAUCAUUGCAAUUAUUGAUCGUGAACGAGGAAUUCCCAGUAAGUGCAAGUCAUCAGCUUGCGCUGAUUACGUCCCUGCCCUUUGUACACACCGCCCGUCGCUACUACCGAUUGAAUGGUUUAGUGAGAUCUCUGGAUUGACGCUGGCUAGGGGGCGACCCUUGGCCAGACUGCUCGAGAAACUGCUCAAACUUGAUCAUUUAGAGGAAGUAAAAGUCGUAACA
rnacentral:rRNA from 1 species